GUAAAAUCAAACUUUUUAGUCCCUUUAUUAGAUUGCUGUCAAAGAAAACAUUAGUCAACUUGUUUUAGUCUUGGUCAAAGGGACUAAAUAGUAUGGAUCCUUAAAAUUAUAAGGACUAAACAGUAUAAACAUUAAAGGCCAAAAUAAGUUAACUAACGCUUUCUUUGACAAAAGGACUAAAGAGUUUGAUUUAAAAAAAAAAGGAUGUUUUAAUUGAGUUUUUAAAAAAUAGGGACUAAGUAAUUAAUUUUGACAAAUUACAACUAAGUUUAUUAAUUGAUACUUAUAUAAUGUAACAUUUGCUGUGUUGGAUUAUUUUCUAAUCACAUAGCUCAUCUAUUUUUGGCAGAGUCAAGGGUUUGAUAAUUG
rnacentral:misc_RNA from 1 species